AUGGCCACAUCACAUUGAAACAUCAUCCCGUUCGAUCACCAAAGUUAAGCAACGUCGAUCCUGGUCAGUACCUAGAUGGGUAACAGCUUGGGAAUACAAUGUGAUGUAAU